AUUGAACGCUGGCGGCAUGCUUUACACAUGCAAGUCGAACGGCUGCGCGGGCUUCGGCCUGGCGUCGAGCGGCGAACGGGUGAGUAAUGCAUCGGAACGUGCCCAGUAGUGGGGGAUAGCGCCGGGAAACGGGCAUUAAUACCGCAUACGACCUGAGGGUGAAAGCGGGGGACCGACAGACCUCGCGCUAUUGGAGCAGCCGAUGUCGGAUUAGCUAGUUGGUGGGGUAAAGGCUUACCAAGGCGACGAUCCGUAACUGGUCUGAGAGGACGACCAGCCACACUGGGACUGAGACACGGCCCAGACUCCUACGGGAGGCAGCAGUGGGGAAUUUUGGACAAUGGGGGCAACCCUGAUCCAGCCAUGCCGCGUGCGGGAAGAAGGCCUUCGGGUUGUAAACCGCUUUUGUUCGGGAAGAAAUCCUCUGGGCUAAUACCCCGGGGGGAUGACGGUACCGGAAGAAUAAGCACCGGCUAACUACGUG
rnacentral:rRNA from 1 species